CAUGGAUCCGUCCGGAAUGGAUCCCCCUGGAUCUGGCCGAGGCACCGCCGUCCUUGCUAGCCUUGCCGUUUGGCGAGCCUGUAGUCGCCCCCGUCCCGUGCCAUGGCUGCCUCGUGUGAUGCAUUGGGACGAGAAUGAAGCAGCCGGUUGACCGUAGACCAUUGCUUCCCUUGCUUGCCCGCGUGGGCUGGAUCUGCCUCGGCCCAUCCUGCGGCCUCCUGCUUGGCCCAGCCUCGCCUAGCAUUCAUCGGCUCAGGCCCAUGCACCCGAUGUUGGCCCGUCUAUUCCGAGCCGGCCUAGGCGCUAGCCCGAGGCCAAGCAAGCAGCCCUGAGUCGGCCUUCCUCCCUUCGCCCCCGAGCCCAUCUCCGACCUGGGCCAUGGCCCGCUGUGGUGAGUGACCCGGCUGCCCUAUUUUUGUGCCCGUGGCGCCUUUUAGUUAAUUAGCACCCAUGCCCCGUUCAGCCCAAUAGCUGCACAUUCGGCCGGAUUAGGAUUUCCUAUUUAACCAACGAUUUUAUUUAUUUUCACACAAGUUGCAUAUUUUCAAACGUCCAUAAUUUUCAAACCGUGCGUCGGAUCCGAAUAGUUUAUAUAUGUAACUUGGCUACAACUUUGUGUAGAUUAAUAAUUUUCAACUUUCAUGCAUGAAAAAUAAUACUUAAACGUGUUGUUUGCAUCGGUUUGCGUGUCGACAUAAUAGAAACGGUUUAACCCGUAGUAAUUUAACCGUGGCUUCGUUGGAGAUGUGCCAUAUAUGUAAAUGGACUAGAACGACGAGUAGAAUCAUUUGAACCACUUUGUUUUGUCGUUUAACAAACAUGAAAGGUGAUUAGCACAAAUCUAGACAUAUUUAGAAUUUAACGCAUGGGUUCCUUUCGGAGAUGCUAUAUGUCGUCUCCGGCCUCAUUUAAAAUGCCUAGAUAGGUAGUUUAAUUUGUGCUUCAUCCCCUGCCAUGUUUAACAACAUUUAAUAUUUCCAUGUAAAUAAAUGGGAGUGAACUAAUAAUUAUAAGUCGAGUUUCGUUAAUAUGCAACUCCUUGCAUAUUGAGCUUCACUUAAUGUGUAGUGUUUGCAUGAUGUGAAUAUCCGUGCCAUGCCUUGCAUAUUAAAACUGCUCAUGCAUCAUAUGUGAAUUGCAUUAUGUCGCGCAAGUGCCGUGGUGAAUAUCGUGUGUUGAUUCUUCUUUCCGGUUUGCUUCGUCUCGAUAGAGUUCCGCGAGCAUGUUCGAAUGUGAGGACCCGUUCGACUCUGUCGGUUCGUCUCCUUCACGGAGUCGUUCUUCUUCCAAGCUGGAUCUCAGGCAAGAUGAUCAUUUCCUCAGAUACCAUUACUAUCAUUGCCAUGCUAGUUGUUUCAUUUCUUUCGUUAUGUCUUGCUGCCUACCACCGUUAAAAUCAGCCUCCCAACAAUGCCAUGAAAUACCUUCAACCAGUACACAACCUAGCAAACCAGUGAUUGGCUAUGUUACUGCUUGCUUAACCUUUUGAUAGCGUUGCUAGUUGUAGGUGCAGUUGCUUCCAUGUGAUAACAUGGGUUCCUUGUUAUAUCACCAUAUUAUUGUUAAUUAAUUUAAUGCAUCUAUAUACUCCGUAAAAGGUGGAAGGCUCGGCCUUUCUAGCCUGGUGUCUUGUUCCACCUUUGCCACCUUAGUUUCGGCUACCGAUGUUAUGUUCCAUAAAUGAGCGCUCCUAACAUGCUUGGGGUUGUUAUGGGGACCCCCUAGAUUCUUGUUUUGGGAUAAAGCUCGUCUGGCAUGGCCCAGCAUUGGUACUAUAAUUGCCCAACAUAAUAAUUCUGUUAAUACUGAAAACAUAGGUCGUCAUGAACCCGAGGAGUAAUUCAACAUAAUAUAGGGAGGGCAAGUGCUUUCGGUACUGCUCCAAAAGAGAGCAUCGUGCGGGGCCAACCAGGGGCAACUCAGGAGAUGUCUAUCAGGCCACCGUACACUUUGCUUAUUCAACGUGUCUUGAGAACGAGAUACGCGGCUCCUACUGGGAUCGUCAACAUGCCGGGCGGCCUUGCUAGACUUGUUUUACCUUUCUCAAGCGUCUUGUGUGAGGGAAUCCUAGGAUGAUUUGGAUUAUCUUGAGGUUGAGGUUUUCUAAUAGGAACCCGAGGAGAUAAUGGGUUUCCCUGGUCGAGGUCAUUCUGUCAUAGCGUGUGGUAGUUUGUGAUGGACUAGUUGGAGUACCCUUGCACGGUUAAAUCUUUCCGGAAGUCGUGCCCGCGGUUAUGUGGCAACAUGGAAACUUUGUUUAACAUCCGGUUCUAGAUAACCUGAAGUAAACAUAAUUAAAACUUGCCAACUGAGUGCAUAACCGUGACUGUCUCUUCCGUGAGCUCCUUCUCCGAUCGAGGAGACGGUAGGGUUAUGUCUGACGUAAGUAGGUGUUCAGUGUCUUUCAUUUGGAGUUCACGUCCGUAAUGCGUAGAUCUUCCCAUUCUUUUAUUAUUGUAUUCGUAAGUUAGCCACCUCAAAUAAAUGCUUAGUCGCUUGCUGCAGCCUCACCACUUAAUCGUACCUCACCAUUAAGCUUUGUUAGUCUUGAAACAUUUGGAAAUAAUAUUGCUCACAGAUUACUACAACACCAGUUGCAUGUACAGAUAAAGAGUUACUUGACCCGAGCUAGGAUGGGUUCAGGCUAGCAGCCUGGGAUAGCUAGGAUGGACGUCGUUCUUUUAUCGUUUUUUUCGUCCGUAGUAGGACCCUACUCUUCUUCUUGAUGAUUGUAUGAAUUGUACUAGUGUGACUUUGAUGUAGCUUGUGGCGAGUGUAGGCCUAUUCCAUAUACUCAUCUUUUCAGUACAUGUACUUGUAACGAUAUCCGUUCUUGCGAAACGACGAGAUGCAUUUCUAUCCCUGUCGAGGCCCUCGCGUCAAAAUAAGGAUAUGACCGCAUCUUGGGCGUUGCAAUUUCAUUGAAAUUUCUAUUAAGCGUUUUGAUCUAUCUCUAUAGAUCUUGAUGAUCAAUGUUCAAGUAGCUCUAUCCAGGUUUUGCUUUAAAAAACUCCUUUCAAAUAACCCUCUAUCCUUCCAGAAAUUCUACAUUAUUUCCAAUGAGAAAUAUCUCGAUCACAUAUUCUAAUUAGAAAUUCUAUAGUGCUCCCACUAACUUCCUUGGAAAUACAAGUUUCUCAUAGACUUAGUAUAAACCCAAAAGCUUUGAUCAUCUCAUCAAAGCGUAUAUUCUAACUCCGAGAUGCUUGCACCAGUCCAUAGAGGGAUCGCUGGAGCUUGCAUACUUGUUAGCAUCCUUAGGAUCGACAAAACCUUAUGGUAUUAUCACGUACAACCUUUCCUCAACCGUAGAGGAAACAAUGUCUUGACAUCCUAUCUGCAAUAUUUCAUAAAUAAUGCAGGAACUGCUAACAUAAUUCCAACAGACUUUUAGCAUCGCUACGAGUGAGAAAGUCUCAUCAUAGUUAACUCUUUGAACUUGUCGGAAACAUCUUUGCGACACGGCGAGCUUUCUUAAUAGUGACUUUUCACCAUCAUCGUCCGUCUUCCUUUUAAAGAUCCAUUUGUACUUAACAGUCUUACGACCACCAAGUAGUUCUUCCAAAGUCUACACUUUGUUUUCAUACAUGGAUCCUAUCUCGCAUUUCAUGGCAUCCAUCCAUUUGUCGGAAUCCGAGCCCACCAUCGCUUCUCCAUAUUUCUUAGGUUCAUUGUUGUCCAACAACAUGACCUUCAAGACAGGGUUACCGUACCACUCUGGAGCAUUAUGUGACCUUGUCGACCUACUAGGUUUUUAGUAACUUGAUUUGAAGCUUCAUGAUCACUAUCAUUAGCUUCCACUUCAAUUGGUGUAGGCGCCACAGGAACAACUUCCUAUGCCCUACUACACACUGGUUGAAGCAACGGUUCAAUAACCUCAUCAAGUUUCCACCAUCCUCCCACUCAAUUCUUUCGAGAGAAAUCUUUCCUCGAGAAGGGACCCAUUUAUAGAAACAAACACUUUGUUUCCGGAUAUGAGACACGAGAUAUAGCCAACAGUUUUGGGUAUCCUCCGAAGAUGCAUUUAUCCGCUUUGGGUUCGAGCUUAUCAGAGUGAAACUUUUUCACAUAAGCGUCGUAGCCCCAAGCUUUUAAGAAACAACAACUUAGGUUUCUCCAAGCCGUAGUUCAUACGUUGUCAUCUCAACGGAAUUCUGUGGUGCCCUAUUUAAAGUGAAUGUGGUUGUCUCUAAUGCCUAACCCAAAAACUAUAGUGGAAGUUCGAUAAGAGACAUCAUAGUAUGCACCAUAUCCAAUAGGGCGCGGCUAUGACGUUCGGACACACCAUCACACCAUGGUGCUCUAGGUGGCUAUAGUUGUGAAACAAUUUCCACAAUGUCUUAAAUGUUUACCAAACUCGCAACUCAGAUUUUACCUCCACGAUCACAUCGUAGACAUAUUAUCCUCUUGUCACGAUGAUAUUCACUCUGAAAUAGCUUGAACUUUUCAAUAUUUCAGACUUGUGAUUCAUCAAGAAAAUACUCUUGUAUCUACUCAAAUCGUCAGUGAAGUAAGAACAUAACGAUAUCCACUGCGUGCCUCAGCGCUCAUUGGACCGCACACAUCAAAAUGUAUUACUUCCAACAAGUUAUUUUGUCGUUCCAUCUCACUGGAAAACGAGACCUUCAGUCAUCUUGCUCAUGUGGUAUGUUUUGCAUGUCUCAAGUGAUUUAAAAUCAAGUGAGUCCAAACGAUCCGUCUCCUUGGAGUUUCUUCAUAUGUUUAUACCAAUAGAUAUGGUUCACAUGUCUCACAUGUUUCAAAAAUGAGUGAGUCCAAACAUCCAUCAACAUGGAGCUUCUUCAUGCAUUUUACACCAAUAUGACUCAAGCGAUAGUGCCACAAGUAAGUGGUACUAUCAUUACUACUUUGUAUCUUUCGGCAUCAAUAUUAUGAACAUGUGUAUCACAACAAUCGAGAUUCAAUUAACCAUUUAUUUUAGGUGCAGGACCAUUGAAUGUAUUAUUCAAGAACACAGAAUAACCAUUAUAUUCUUUAAAUGAAUAAUCCUAUUGCAAUAAACACAAUCCAAUCAUAUCUAUGCUCAACGCAAACACCAAAUAACAAUUAUUUAGGUUUAACAUUAAUCCCGAUGGUAGAGGGAGCGUGCGAUGGCGAUCACAUCAACCUUGGAAACACAUCCAACACACAUCGUCGCCUCGCCUUUAGCUAGUCUUCGUUUAUUCUGUAGCUUUUAUUUCGAGUUACUAACACUUAGCAACCAAACCGGUAUCUAAUACCCUGGUGCUAAAGGAGUACUAGUAAAGUACACAUCAAUAUUAUGUAUAUCCAAUAUACUUUUGUCGACUUUCAGCCCUCUCAUCUACCAAAUAUCUAGGGUAGAUCCACUUCAUUGACCAUUCCCCUUAUUACAGAAGCACUUAGUACGGGUUUGGGUUCAACCUUGGGUCUCUUCACUAGAGCAGCAACUGGUUUGUCGUUUCAUGAAGUAUCCCUUCUUUCCCUUGCCCUUCGUGAAACUACAGGUUUUACUAACCAUCAAAAAUUGAUGCUCCUUUUCGAUUUCUACUUUCACGGUGUCAAACAUCGCGAAUAGCUCAAGGAUCAUCAUAUCUAUCCCUGAUAUGUUCUAGUUCAUCACGAAGCUCUAGUAGCUUGGUGGCAGUGACUUUGGAGAACCAUCACUAUCUCAUCUAGAAGAUUAACUCCCACUCGAUUCAAGUGAUUGUAGCACUAAGACAAUCUGAGAUGCUCAAUGAUUGAGCUUUUGUCCCUUAAUUUGUAGAUAAAGAAUCUUGUCAGAGGUCUCGUACCUAUGAACACGGGCACAAGCAUGAAAUCCCAAUUUCAUCUCUUAGAACAUCUUGUAUGUCCCGUGACGUUGGAAACGUCUUCAACGCCUCAAUUCUAAGCCGUUUAAGCAUUACGCACUGAACUAUCACGUAGUCAUCAAAAACGUGUAUGUCAUAUAUUUGCAACAUCCACAGACGAGGCUCGAGGUUCAGCACACCGAGCGGUGCGUUAAGGACAUAAGACUUCUGUGCAGCAAUGAGGACAAUCCUCAGUUUACGGACCCAGUCUGCAUAAUUGCUACUAUCAUCUUUCAACUAAAUUUUCUCCAGGAACAUAUUUAAAACAGUAGAGGUACAGUGCAAGCUACCACAUAAUUUGCAAAUACCUUUUGACUAUGUUUAUGAUAAUGAGUUCAAUUAAUUAUAUUACUUAAGAACUCCCACUCAAAUUGACAUCACUCUAGUCAUUCGAGUGACGCUUGAUUCAAACUCACUAACUCAAGUCCGAUCAUCACGUGAGUUGAGUUAAGCUUCAAUGGUGAACAUCUCCAUGUUGACCAUAUCAACUAUAUGAUUCAUGCUCAACCUUUCAGUCUCUUGUGUUCCGAGGCCAUGUCUGUACAUGCCAGGCUCGUCAAGUUUAACCCGAGUGUUCCGCGUGUGUAACUGUUUUGCACCCGUUGUAUGUGAACCUUGAUUCUAUCACACCCGAUCAUCUCGUGGUGUCUCGAAACGAUGAACUGUCGCAACGGUGCACAGUCGGGGAGAACACAAUUUUAUCUUGAAAUUUUAGUGAGGGGUCACCUUAUAUUGCUACCGUCGUCCUAAGAAAAAUAAGGUGCAUAAAAGGAUUAACAUCACAUGCAAAUCAUAAGUGACAUGAUAUGCCCAUGAACUUUUGCUUCUUGAUCUCCAUCACCAAAGCAUCGGCAUGAUAUCCAUCGUCACUGACGCUGCACCGUGAUCUCCAUCAUCAUGCUGCCAUCGAGGUUGUCGUGCUAUCUGUGUUGUUACUACUAAAGCUACUACCUAGCGAUAUAGCAAGAGCAUCUGAAAACGCAAAAUAAAUUUAAAGACAACCCUAUGGCUCCUGCCGGUUGCCGUAGCAUCGACGUGCAAGUAGAUAUUUAACUAUUACAAGAUGAUCGUCUCAUACAUCCUAUAUAUCAUAUCAUGUCAUUGGCCAUAUCAUAUCACAAGCAUGCCCUACAAAAAUAAGUUAGCCGCUCCCUAAUUUGUUGUUGCAAAUUUUACGUGGCUGCUAUGGGUAUCUAGUAUGAUCGCAUCUUACUUACGCAAAGCCACAACGGUGAUAUGUAAAUUGCUAUUUAACCUUCUCCAAGGACCGCCUCAGUCAAAUACGAUUCAACUAAAGUUGAAGAAAAAAACACCCGCCAGUCAUCUUUAUGUAACAAGUUGCAUGUCCAUCGACGAAACCGGUCUCUCAUAAGUGUACGAGUAAAGUUGGUCCGGGCCGCUUCAAUCCAACAAUACCACCGAAUCAAGAAAACACUAAGGAGGGCAGCAAGUUGAACAUCAGCGCCCACAAACUAUUUUGUGUUCUACUCGAGAUAGGUUCUACGCAUGAACCUAUCUCAUGAUGCUACUGAUGGGGAACGUUGCAAGGGAAACAAAAAAUUUCCUACGCACUGGCAAUACCUAUCUACGGGAGAGGAGAAUGAAUCUACAUACCCUUGUAGAUCGCUAAGCAAAAGCGUAUAUAACACGGUUGCUGUAGUGGAACAUCUUCGUGAUCCAAAUCGCAGCCCGUCCCACGAUCUCAUCAUGAUCCGCCCCGCGAUCUCAUCGUGAUCCUUCCCUAUCUAGCGCCGAACGGAUGACACCUCCGUGUUCAGCACACGUACUAUUCAAUGACGUCUCCUUCUUGAUCCAAGAGGAGAGGAAGGAGAAGUAGAUGGGAUCUCAACCAGUAUUACGACAUGGUGGAGAUGAUGGUGGAGCAGUGCUAGCAGGGCUUCGCCAAGCGCUACUGGAACCUAUCUGAGGAGAAAACGGACUUAUGGGAGAGGUAGGGCUUCCACCGGGGCGUGGGAAUUGAUGUUUCAGCCCCUCCCUCUCCGCCACUAUAUAUAGGAGGCUAGGAGGACGGUUGGUCGCAGCCCUAUCCCCUCCUCGAAGGAGGGGCGUGGGCCUAGGGAUGUGUCCUCCGUCCCCAAGGCACCUAGGAUGUGCCUUCCCCUUUAGGGACUCUUACCUCCCAACUCCAUGGGCCCUUGGCGGCUGGCCCAAAAAGGUUUGGACGCCCCCUUACAACCCAUGCACGUCCUAGGGGCUGGUGGCACCCUUCCGGAACCCUCUGGAACCUUUUGGAACCUUCCAAAAGCUUCCCGGUACAAUACCAAUAAAACUCGAAACUUUUCCGAUAGGCAAAAUAAGACUUCCCAUAUAUAAAUCUUUACAUCUGGUCCAUUCCAGAGCUCCUAGUGACGUCCGGGAUCUCACCCGUGACUCGGAAGAACAUUCUAUCACCAACAUACUUAUCCCAAUACUACUCUAGCGUCACCGAACAUUAAGGGUGCACGCCCUGCGGGUUCGAGAACUAUGCAGACAUGACCGAGACAGCUCUACGACAAUAACCAAUAGCGGGACCUGGAUGUCCAUAUUGGUUCCUACAUAUUCUCCGAAGAUCUUUAUCGGUUGAACCGCGAUGUCAAGGAUUCAAUCAAUCAAGUAUGCAGUUCCCUUUGUCCAUCGGUAUGUUACUUGCCCGAGAUUCGAUCGUCGGUAUCUCCAUACCUAGUUCAAUCUCGUUACCGGCAAGUCUCUUUACUCAUUCCGUAAUACAAGAUCCCGUGACUAACUCCUUAGUCACAUUUCUUGCAAGGCUUAUUGUGAUGUUGUAUUACCGAGUGGGCCCCGAGAUACCUCUCCCUCACACGGAGUGAGAAAUCCUAGUAUUGAUCCAUGCCAACCCAACAGACACCUUAGGAGAUACUGUAGAGCACCUUUAAAGUCACCCAAUUACGUUGCGACGUUUGAUACACACAAGGUAUUCCUACGGUGUCCGGGAGUUGCAUGAUCUCAUGAUCAUAGGAACAGAUACAUUGACAUGCAGAAAACAGUAGCAAUAAACUAACACGAUCAUAUGCUAUGUUCAUAGUUUGGGUCUUGUCCUUCACAUCAUUCUCCUAAUGAUGUGAUCCCGUUAUCUAGUGACAACACUUGUCUAUGGCCGGGAAACCUUGACCAUAUUUGAUCAACGAGCUAGUCAACUAGAGGCUCACUAGGGACAGUGUGUUGUCUAUGUAUCCACACAUGUAUUUGAGUUUCCAAUCAAUAGAAUUCUAGCAUGGAUAAUAAACGAUUAUCAUGAUCAAGGAAAUAUAAUAGUAACCAAUUUAUUAUUGCCUAUAGGGUAUAUUUCAAACAAAAGCGACUACACCUAAGUACUCAGAGUGAGUUGACAGGUUGGAAUAACUCAGGUGUAUAAUUUAAGGUGAGGAAUUCAGAGAAAUUCUUCACUCAAAUUCUUCAAAUAGUACAGAUGAAAGUAUUCAACAUGCAAUUGAGGAAAUGAAAAGAACUGAAGAAAUAGAACCCGUAGCUCGAUGAAGACAAUGGUUGAUGAAUCAGUUCCAACUGUUGUGAUAGUUGUACGUCUGGUUUGGAGCGGCCUGGUAUUGAAACCAAAGGACACACAAUCCCUACUGUAGUAUCGUUGAGCGAAGGACAUAUAGUCCUCGCCCAACACUCAUGGUAAGUCUUCAGGGCAGACUUCUAAACCCUCACAAAUAUGGUCAUCCGACGAUCCACAAUUGACUGCUGGAUGCUCUAAACCAUGGCGCCUAACCGUCUGGAGGAUGCAUAGUCCUCAAAUGUAACAAGCGUCGGUUCCACACAUGAACAAUCUCUUCAAUGAUGCUCAAUCACUUUGGGUUUUUGGUUUUGGUUUGGGUGUUUGGGCUUUUUCCUCACUAGAUGAUUUUCGGUCAAAGACCUCGAGGAAUUGGGUUGCUCUAAAUGAAAAGUGUCAGUUUCUCUCGGAGCAUCCGACCAGCUAGUGGUUCUGGGGGCGGCUAUUUAUAGCCUGGGAGUUCCCCCACAUGAUAUGGCAUUAUUACCCCUAAUGAUAUGACGGUUGUGUUGAUAAGAUUGGGGACGGGUGGCGCGUGGCGUGGCAACGGUCGGAACUUUCAGCUGUGGAAGUCCUCAUGUCUCUCAUGUUUUUCACUUGAAGGAUUUGGUAUGUGUAGGUUUGAGUUGAGCAUAAUGAGUAAAUUAUUUCCUUAGUUUUACCUUGACCCCCUUUAACAGUAUGGUGUAACUAUGACUCAAGAGUGAAGAAAAUGAAACAGAAAGAGUAAAUCUUCAAGCUUCAAAGUCUUCACAACAUUUUCUUCGGGACAGAACGAAUUCCUCAUCUUCAAUGUCUUCAUGAGGAAUAAUAAUUUCUUCGCUAUCGAAGUCUUCACCCGAAGACACACAUUUUUAGGGGUCGAUAUUCUUCGACUAACUCAAACUACUUAGCGACUUAUAGAGCAUGUGUACACUCACAAACAUAUGAGUCUCUUAACCUAUAAGUCUUGAAUCGACGAAAAUUACUAAGGGGCACUAGAUGCACUGACAAUCUCCCCCUUUUUGGUGGUUGAUGACAAAUAUUUUAAGUUAUCAACGGGAAUAAAAAUAUGAAAUGUAAGUACAGAGUUUGAGGAAUUGGAUUGCAAGAUAAGAGAAACUCCCCCUGAAGAUGUGCAUGUUUGAGGAAUUUGCUUUGGACUGCAAAUGCACAUUGAUGAUUUAUAUCAUGGAGAUCUCCCCCUAUAUCUUGUAAUUUAUGCAUGCAUUUAACAUAUAGUAUGAGGAAUUUGAAAUGCAAGAUGAAAAAUGGUGUCUGACGAAUUUCAGCAUGUAUGCAUUUAAUCAACUUGAGGAAUAUGCAUGCGAGGAAAAAUGUUCAAAAGUGUGAGACCACAACCGUUUUUAAAUUACAACUCAUUAUAGCAAAAAACUUGACAGAAACAAGAUUUUGUAACUUAAUAAAGUUUAUAAAAGCCCAUAAAGUAGACUCGCUUGAAGACUAACUCAAAUUUCUCCCCCUUUGUCAUCAAGUGACGAAAAGGGACAAAAACUAAGGACUAACGCCCUUGAAGAAAUUCACUUCUGAGUUGGAGGAGGAGCAUUGGGGUCGGCCGAUGCAGCAGUGUCAUCAACGUCUUCAGCUUCGUUGGUGGCGCGGGUUGAAGAAAAUGAGUUGGCCACUAGUUGUGGAACAGGGAUCUUCUUGAACUUCUUCUUUGGAGGCCAGGACCAGUCAAAGUCUUGUUGGAACUUGAUCUCAGUGAAUUCCUCCGGGUCUGGUGAUGAGACAGAAUGGACCAUGUGCGAUCAAAGAUCUUCACUGCAUUCCUGGUUUCAUUGAGGUCUUUUACAAUUUCUCCAACCUGACUCCAGUUGUGGUUUCGAUCAAUGUUCUGAUAAAGACUUAACGGGAGUUCCUGGUCAGUCUUCACGUGCAGUAUAGGUGGGCUUGGUGGUUCUUGUGAUACAGUGUCAUCAUUAGUGGAGUAUGAUGCUGGUUUGGGAAAGUGUCCAUCAAGGGGUCGAGUGCCAUCAUCAAUCACCGAUUUUUCUUUGCCGUCAAUUUCAUCAAAGGAGCUCUUGACGACUUCAAUUUGAGGAGAUAAAUCUGGUGAUUCAGAAUGUCAGCCUUGUAAGGUUUUAGAUCAAAUGGUGAGAGAGCAGAGUGGGACAAAGUUCUCAAGGAAUAAAUCAUGAAGGUUUAUGGGGAUUCCAUGUAUGAUGUGAAAGAGCAAGUUCUUCAUGAUGCCCACAAUUUCUUCAUCAUUUGAGUCAUGGCUCUUGAUUGGAUAGAAGGUUUUGUCCAAGAUGCGAUAGAUUAUACUUGGCACAUAGAUCAAUUCCUUCGAGAGGAAUUUGGUCCUUGGUGGCUGACUAGGUGUCAAUGUCUUCAUGAGGACUUGCAUAUAAUGAUCGCCCAGUUCAGGUUCCUCAUAGACGCAUCUGGCUCCAUUUGAGGGUAUUGACACAGGAAGAGCCUGAAGCAAUUCAGUUUCAGGGGCUUUGAAUUGUGUAUCCUAUGUCAUCUCGUAUAGAACCCAUGUGUUGACAUCUUUGUGAUCUCCUGAGAGGUGCAGUGUAACAUAGAACUGAAGAACGAUCUCUUCAUUCCAGUCACACAUGUCAUAGCUGAAAGGCAACAAUCAAGAAUCAUGAAGAACUCUCAGUACCGGUUCGUAUUAAGGAAUUUCCCCCAUAUCUGCAUGAGGAAUAUGCAUGUGAGGAAAUACAUUUUGUUUGUCGGAGAGCACAAUACUAUAGUAGUUCAUCUAGAUUUGAGUCCAAAAUCUACUGCGCUUGAACUGAGGAGAUUCAUAUGGACUGAGGCCUAUGAAGUAAAGAUUUUCAUCGAAGAAUUGGGCCCUGUCAAAUUUUGGCCCUUUUCCAUUGUAUGGUUUGAUACCCUUCGGCUGAAGAUUUCGCUUGAAGUGGCUUCCAAGUCUUCGGGUAUUUCCUGUUUGAGGAUUUGAAAUAUGUGGUUCACCAGCAGAUUCUUCAUUUUGUGCCAGAGCAGUGUCUUCAGGCACAUGUUCUUUAGUCUGAGGAAUAUGUUGAGUCAGUGUAUCAGUUGCGGGCACAGCAAUUCCUUCAACAUUUGCAUUUUCAUUAGCUGAUGCAGCAGAUUCCUGUUCAGGAGCAGACUUUACUGGAAUGCUCUUUUCUUCAAAGCCAGUCAGAACUUCAAUGGCUGCAGGGGACUCGUAUACUUGAGGAAUUGGGGGCCAUUGGUGUGUUUGGAUGAGUCUGUUCUCAAAAGUCAUCAUAAAUCACGAGUGUGUUCCAGCCAGUGUCCACAACAUCCUCCUUUUCUUUAGUAGUCAUCUCAUGGUUCUGAGGAGGACGAGUUGAAGCUUGAGGAAUUUGAUCAGCUUCAGUUUCCUCAUCAAUGGGUGUGGAAGAAGUUGGCUGAUUUUCUUCCAUUUCCUCAUACCUUUAUUGAAUGACAUUUUCUUCACCAAAGGGUACAAUCAUGUAGGAAGGUGCAACACUGGGUGGUGUUGCAUCAAUUGGAGCAGAUGAAGAAGUAGUCAAAGUCUUCUUGGCUUCCUUCUCCGAAGCUUUGGGUUUCUUCACUUCUGAUGCAGAAGGUAGUGUGACUUUCUUCACCGCUGAAGUCUUCGGUGAAGGAUCAUUUUCUUUAAGCAUUGCAAAUUCAGUUGCAGGCCUGGCAGAUUCAUCAGCAGUUUCAUCAGUUGCAGGUUCAUCAGUAGCGGGUGUAUCAACAAGAGGUUCUUCAUCUUCAUUAGCUAGGUGUACAAUGUAGCUAGCUUGAGGAAUAGAUGUAUGCGUUGGGGCCGCAACCAUGUUGUUGUACUCUACAAUGGCUUGUGUAGAAGCAUUGACAAACCUUACUUUGACUCCCUUACUGUCAUCAUGAUGGCUUGUGUAUUUCUCAGUGAGGGUUCUUAACUCAUCUUGAGUGGAGACAAGUUGCUCUGGCAUCAAGGUCAGAAAUUUUGUUGCAAGUACUUAUCCUUUUGAACCUUUGCUUUGUGAGCUUGUUUGGCUUGCUGGGCCUUCCACUUUUGUUCAUUGAUAAAUGAGGCCACCAUGUGACUGGGCCUAGGUGGAAGCUUCAAAUCAUCAAUGGGUGUGUUGGGAUCUUUGUAGCAAAGAUUGGUGAAAUACAGUAUCACCUUCGGAUCCAGUGUGAGGGGAAUUGUGGUACCUUUAGCUUGUGCAACCAUUUAUUGUUUGUUUCUGAUGAUGGCUCGAAGAGUUUCAUCAUCAUAUUCAUCACUUCCCUUUGAUGCGGAGGGAACAUUGAGGACAACUUUGUUUGGACUGGGCCUUGUUCCUCGCCCACCAGUGAUCUUCGUAUUCACUAUGCCACUUGAGGACUUGUGUAGCGUGCUAGAGGCAGAUGAUUUUGAGAGAAUUGAGGUACCUCUUGGUUGCUGACUCGACUGGGGCUGCAGAGGAAGUGAAGACUUUGUUGCAGUUGAGGACCUUGCAGACGUUAAGGGCUUUGCAGCCAUAGUUGGAGCUGUCUGAGGAAUUUGCUAUUUGAAUACUAUUGUUGAGGACUUUGGCUUGACACCUGAUUUCUUCAUCAGUGUCUUCUUGGGAGGUUGUUCAGUGGCAGAAGCCUCAGCAACAGAAGAGGAGUGCAGCAGCAGCAGCAGUAGCAGAAUCCUCAUUGAACUUCGUAACUGCUUCUUUGGCAUUUUUCCUUAGUUUUGCCAAAUACUUGGCUUUUUCCUUAGGAUAGUCUUCAAUAGUGACCAUGCUUCAGGGAUGGUCACUUUGUUGUUCUCCCAGAGGAGGUCUGGUGCAAGGAGGCUUGACAGCAAACUUCCUGGCAUACUUGGGAGUGACAUACUUGUAUUUCUCCCACUCGUGAGCCCAUCUCCUUCCAAUACUUUGAAGCCUGAUCUUGCGCUUCACACAGGUUUCCUUCCAAUUAAUUGCUUCAUGAGGUGUGUAAUAAUCAGCAUAGAUGUCAACGGGAAAUUCAAAGGCAGUGUUCUGCUCUGGCUUCUUGCCACCCUUCUGUUUCUUGUCAUCCUCCAUUUUAUUCAGUUGAGGCCUUUGCUUAGAAAUUUGAAUACUAGAGGAAUCUGAUGACACAUGUAGAUUUUUUUCAAGAAACGCUGCAAAUGAGUUAAGUUCAUGACAACCUAGUGAUUCAUCAGAUCACAUUUUGUACCUGUGAAUAGAGUAUAGGUGCGAAGAAUUUGGAGAGGUCAUAUGCGUUCUUGGAUUUGAGGAAUUUGAAAAAUGACUCGAAGUGAGGAAUUUGACCAAUAAAGUGCUAACGAAUUUCGCUAAGCAUUCUAAUCUUGGGUUCCAGAGUUGUGCAUAUUCGAAAAUUUAUACAAUUGAGGAAUCUCAUGAAGAAUUUAGUAACCUUGAUAAAUUCAUUAGGUGUUCUAGACAUGGAUGUGUUCAUCUCAAGGAUUUUCUCAGGAAUAAUAGAUUUCACAGAUCUAAAGAAAAUAUAUGGAUCGACACGGGCAGAAGAAUUACAUCUUGAGUGUCCUACCUUGUCGACUGAAGGUAGCUAUGUGUGAAGAACACGACGAACUGAGGAAGUGAAAAUGGAAGCUCGCCAGUUCAGAUCUUGAGUGCCCUAACUUGGCGACUGAAGAUAGCUAUGGCGACGGCGGAGGGAGAUGAUCCGCAAUCGGCGUGAGUCCGUGACGGCAAGGUCGAGCCAGUGAAGCAGUUCCUCACCGGCAACGAAGAUUUCCAGCAGUGGCGCUAGGGUAGAGCUUGAACGGGGGAAGAUGAAAACGAGAGGAAGAGUUUUCACUAAAGGGGGUAGGGGCUAUUUAUAGCUCAGGUGAAAACGGUCCGAAGCGAAACUUUCGGACAAAAAUGAUCCUGCUCAUUCCUCUCUGCUUGACACGCGUUACCCACGUAUGAAGCGGUGGAGAUAGUGGAUAUUGUGGUUAUCCUAUCGUGAGUAGUGGGUGCAAUUAGAGCGGUAAGGGCAGAAAAAUUGAAGUUCAAAUUUUUUGAUUAUAUUGUAGCAAAGUCUUCAACUGACAAUGACUCAGUGAGGACUUUUAACAAGUGUCGAUUGGAAUGCAUAUGAUGAAUUGAGAAUAGUUUGGGUUGAGCUUAGCAUAGAGGGGAGACGGGUCCGAUCACAUUCACUUAGAUCAAAAACCAACUUGAAGACUUAGCAAUAAGUGAAUUUUGUUGAGGACAUUGAAAGCUCGUAUAUAUGUAUAUAUAUAUAGUCAAUGAAGAUCAUCACAAAAUUUUGAAGACUUCGAAAAUUUUAGGAAUCUGCAAAAGGUCUCAGUUUUGAAGAAUUUCGACUUUGAAGAAUUUGAAGUUUUGGUUGUGGCAUGACACACCGUAUAAGAAUAAUGAUUUCAGGUGCCGCGUACAAUUGUCGUAGGGCCGUGAGAAUCAAUUUGUUCAUUAAUUUCUUCACACUUAGAGUGUUAUUCUUCAUUGAUAGAAGAAAAACGUUACUUCGUGUGUUGCACAUCUAAGUCAUCAAUUUUGCAUAAGUGUUAGGAUGUGUGCCUUUUCACUGAACAUUCGAGAUUCUAGGAUAUUUAGCUCACACCACCACUUGCAAAACCUUUUUCUCAUCCAAGGGCUUAGUGAAGAUAUGUGCUAGUUGGCCUUCAGUCUUCAAAUGGUCGAUGAUGAUGUUGCCCUUGAGUACAUGAUCACGAAGAAAAUGAUGACGAAUCUGGAUGUGCUAGGUCUUCGAGUGUUGUACUUGGUUGUAGGAAAUCUUGAUUGCACUCCCAUUGUCGCAUUAAAGGGGCACAUUCUUCAUGUUGAUGUCGUAGUCCUUGAGGGUUUGCUUCAUCCACAACAGUCGAGCACAAAAUGAUCCAGUAACAAUGUAUUCAGCUUCCGUAGUGGAGAGUGAUACGCUGUUCUGCUUCUUCAUGGACCAACAGACUAAGGAUCGUCCGAGGAAAUGACAUGUGCCUGAUGUCGCGGGAAUAAACCUGACAGUAGAGGUGUAGGGUAUGAAUGGAGAGGGCAGAGUCCUAGCUACGACAAGAUUGUAUGCAAGAUGUAUGAGUUCCGGCCCCUCUCUUGGAAGUAACAACCCUAUGUCUCAGGUGCUUGGGAGCUCUUGCAGUGUGGGUUGUGUAAUGCAGGGGGUGCGAACCCUUGUGCCAGAGGGGAGGGGUUGCUUAUAUAGAGUGCACCACCUAUCAUCAAUACCUCAACAUCUAAGGACUCGACCAAUAUGAGUUAAAGAUAUACGUUACUCAUAACGUAAGUGGGUAAUAAAUGCUACUAAAGACCAUUGGUUGAACGUGUGUCCGUUGGCCCUCGUGUGUGACUUCUGAUCUUCAAUACCGACUGGAAUCCUUCUGAGUGUAUAUGGGUUGUCUAGUGGAUGUAAAUACAAUGCAAGUGCCUUCGUACCGAGUGACUAUUAAGCACCAUAUUCAUCCAAUCGGAAUCUUCUGUGUGGCCCUUAGCCUAAUAAUGAGGUGCCCUUGGGUACGACAUUUAUGUCAGGCCUAUGACGCUAUCCUAGAUACAUAUCCCCAUCAUUAUCCCCCGAAUGGAUGGAGGUUCGAGUGAGGAAGGGGUCGACGCGAGUUCUUGUCGAGUCGUUCUGAUCUUGGUCCUACUCCUGGGAUUGAUAAAACUUCGGGUCGACUAAAAUCUUCGUCAUUCGCCUUGAUCAAUUCUGUUCUGAAGUUUGCCCGAGUGAUAUCAGAUGCUUGGGCUUACUCCGAGUGACUACCGGGAUAUUUUGAUAUGACUGAUCAAUGUGGCAGGUCCGGAUCUUACGGGAUUCGAAAUUGUGGUUUCUGCGCGCCAUGCGGUGAUGGCGCAACUUCCAGGCAAGUGAAGCAACGACGCCUCGAUUAUUGCGCCGUCAUCAUCUCCAUGUGUCACGUCUCCACUGAUACCGGGAUAUCUUGAGAUCUGGAGGUCCCACUAGUCUGACUCAGUCCGUUGCUUAUAUAAAUGCAGUCGUGGCUAGGGUUACGGCUGCCCCUUGAUCUCAUCUUGCUGCUCCUCGUCCUUUGUCUCACCAGCCUUGCUCAAUGUUCUCCUCACUACCACACGAAAGGAAAAACCUCCAAGCUGGAGCGCGCCAAGAAGGGCGACAAGGGGAGAAAGGUCGGUCGGACCGCAGUGCCGCCAGGGUGGAUACAAGGGGAUUUUCUCUCGUCCACUAUGACGGAGGAGGAUGUCUUGGGUCUCAUUGAACACGAGAUGGUGGCGGAGAAAUCAUGGAGACUGCGAGGGGAGGAGCUUGAACCACCACCUCGUGAGGGGGAACGGGUCCUCCUCCUCACUCAUGUCGAGCGAGGUUUUUCUCUUCCUGCACACCAUUUCUUUUGCAGUUUCCUCUUCUAUUACGGGAUUCAACUUCAUCAUCUUCGUCCCAACAUUGUUGCAUAUCUUUCUACAUUCAUCACCUUGUGUGAGUGCUUUUUGGGCUGCCCUCGUCAUUGGGGUUUGUUCAAGAAAAUAUUUACUGCCCGAUCCCAAAAAGUGAAAAAAGCGAAUCCUGAGGACACCCGGACCAAUGUUAUCCAAUUGUGUGGUGGCAUAGGAAUUCAGAAGAGGAAUAGGAGUAAUUAUCUUCCGAUGACCCUCCCUGAAUCAGUCAGGAACUAGCAGUCGUCAUGGUUCUACUGCAAUGAUAUUGCAUCUCCGAACAUGUCGACUGGCCUUCCCCCCUUCACCUUAGAUCAUCCGACUGCUCCUAGGAUAUUUACUAUAUUCGUGGAUGAAAAGGCAGAAGUGGACAUGUUGGCGGGUGAAGUGAUUAACUUGGUGAGAAAUGAGCUGACUGGUUUGGACCUGCUGGAGACGUUUCUCAGUCGGCGCAUCCAACCUCUUCAGGCAAUGGACCAUUCCAUGUGGCAUUACACUGGUUCUGAAGAUUCCACUCGGUCGCAUCCAGAGGAAGUCAAUGAAGAGACGAUAAGCUAGUGGAUCAGAAGCAUCACUGGUCCUUGUGAUAACCUCGUGGGAUCUAGAUGAGUCGCGCCAUAUUCUCCUGAGAAUAAGCCGCGGAAGUUGGUAAGUUACAUCUUUUCUGAUUGUACUUAUGCCUUCGUCGAGUGACUUCAUAUUCAUCCAGUUGACUCUGUUAUCUUUGUGCUCUGUGGGAAUGGACCAACAUACACUCUCCUGUGCCCAACGGGGAGCAGUUCGACCUUAGAGGAGAGAGUGAAGGUGGCACUUCCGAUAGUGAGUAUGUAGAUGACAGCGAAGAGAGCGAAGACGCUUCAGAAGAAAGUGAGGAAGAAUAAUAAUCUCCUACACGCCGAGAACCACGAACCAAGCAACGCCAUGUCCCAUUAGUUGUACCAAGUAAAAUAGUCGCCUCCAGUAGUAGAAGUGUGAAGCGGGACCGAGCCGUCGCGCCCGACUCUGCGGAAAAGGCUACAAAACAGACGAAGCCUGACGCGUCAAAACUUCCAAAGGCUUUGCCGCGAAUGAGAAUCGCCGUGCCGGUUGCCUCAGUGUGAGUGUUUGUCUUUUUCAUCUCGCCAUUGUGUCUUUUCAAACUUCUCGUGACCGUGUGCAAUUUGUUUGCCAGUGCUGCUAUUUCGGUGUCUACUCCUAACGAGUCGGGAGAGGACUAUAUGGACCUCGACGUAGUGGAUCAGCCCGCACCUCGACCAGGUAUGAUAAACAUUAGCUUCACUCUGUUUUAUAUACUGGAUCUGGACUAAUUUUACAAUCACCAUUUCAGCUUCGGGUAUCAUUUUCUUGGAUGACGAUCCAGAGCCUCAACAUACAGCUACGGAACAAACUCCUGCUGAGCCAGUUACAUAUGCACUCGGGAAUCCUGUGACGCUUGUGUCGAAUGCUUCUCCAGUUGGUUCGGGUGCUAUGGUGACGGCCCCUCCGACUAGAUCAACUAUGGUAACCCAAGCUACGCCUGUCGUGAUUCCCACUUCUUCAUCAAUUGCAUUCUCUAUGCAUUGCGUCUCAGAGGAGCAGACUGGCGCUGCCAAAGAGGCGAUGAUCCAGGCCAAGAUGAUGAUGCAACACACAAAGGAGGUGUUCGAGGCCAGGAAAUUGGCGUAUGACGCCAGCUCGGCACUCAAAGCGAACAUCCGAGUAAGUUCCACUCUAAGUUAUUUUCUGAUUGAAUCUCGUUUGUCAAUCUGAUUGAGUGUUGUCGAUCUUGUCAAUCUUGCUUUACACCCACUGAGGUUUGCCAUAUAGUAGGUUGUCCUUACUCUAGUGGGGCACGCUUAGUGAACCCACUUAAGAUGUAUGCUCUAUUUUUGACUCGGUCAGGUCGGCCCAGGUAUAGUUUUUCUUUAUUCCAGUGGGGGCACUCUUAGUGCACCCACUGGGUGUAGUCCCCGAGACCAUUGUCAAGUGCUUGCCUCGGCAAUGGUCUAAUUGAGAAUGAGUAAAUGCAGGACCCGGGCAAACUGGUUUGGCCGAGUAAUUUUGUAUCCAGUGGGGGUACGCUAAGUGCACCCACUGAGUGUAGUCCUGGAGACUAGUGUCGAUCGUUUACGAAGGGCAGUAGUCUUAAGAACUUGGGUGGGUGCGGCGGGCCUCUAAUCCAACUGUCGAAUGACUUUUAUUUUUCCGCUCGGAAGUAGAAAAAUAAUUGUGUCGAAUGACUUGUAUUUCUCCACUUAGAAGUAGAAAAAUAAUUGCGUCAAAUGACUUGUAUUUCUCCCCUGAGAAGUAGAAAAAUAAUUGUGUCAAAUGACUUGUAUUUAUCCACUCGGAAGUUCAAAAAUAAUUGUGUCGAAUGAAACUUAUUUUUCCACUCGGAUGUUUUUUAGAAGGCUUGCGAGAUUGGGUCGCAGUAUACCCAGAUGGAAUCUUAGAAGAACCAACUGAAGCUGAAGUGUGCUGCAAUAAAAAAGGUGCUGGAAGACAAGGAUCUAGUCCUUGCCAAGCAGAAGGAGAAGUCCAAAGCUGAUGAACUGAAGCUUGCGUACUUCGAUAAGUCGAUGUCAGAAAAUGAAAAAAUGAAGAAAGAAAGAGA
rnacentral:lncRNA from 1 species